CCGGUGAGUAAUAACAGAAACAUUUGAAAGGCAAAGAUUCCUCUAAAAUUUAAAAUCUUCAUGUGGUAUUUUCAUAUGGGAGUCGUGCAAAGCAAAGACAACCUCGCACGUCCGAACUGGCCUCGAAGUAAAAACUAUUGUUUUUGUAGUCGUGAUGAAACAAUCAAACACCUCUUUACGGGUGAGAGCAUAUGCCUUACUAUGGUCGCUUGUGCCUUUGGCUAUGUUGAAAUGAUUUGGUUCUUAAUGAUAAAAAAUGAUUCUCGUCUGCAGGUUAUUUUUUAUUGCACGCACUCGCAUCGUAUGUGGUCUACACAAAAAUGA
rnacentral:rRNA from 1 species